UGGGGAAUAUUGCACAAUGGGCGCAAGCCUGAUGCAGCGACGCCGCGUGGGGGAUGACGGCCUUCGGGUUGUAAACCUCUUUCAGUAGGGACGAAGCGCAAGUGACGGUACCUAUAGAAGAAGCACCGGCCAACUACGUGCCAGCAGCCGCGGUAAUAA
rnacentral:rRNA from 1 species